rnacentral:rRNA from 1 species
UACGAAGGGUGCAAGCGUUAAUCGGAAUUACUGGGCGUAAAGCGCGCGUAGGUGGUUCAGCAAGUUGGAUGUGAAAUCCCCGGGCUCAACCCGGGAACUGCGUCCGAUACUGGGAGGCUUGAAUCCGGGAGAGGGAUGUGGAAUUCCAGGUGUAGCGGUGAAAUGCGUAGAGAUCCGGAAGAACACCGGUGGCGAAGGCGGCCUGCUGGGUUCUGGCUGACACUGAGGCGCGACAGCGUGGGGAGCAAACAGG